rnacentral:rRNA from 1 species
UUGACCUCGGAUCAGGUAGGGAUACCCGCUGAACUUAAGCAUAUCAAUAAGCGGAGGAAAAGAAACCAACAGGGAUUGCCCUAGUAACGGCGAGUGAAGCGGCAACAGCUCAAAUUUGAAACCUGGCGCUUGCGCCCGGAUUGUAAUUUGCAGAGGAUGCUUCUGGGCAGCGGCCGGUCUAAGUUCCUUGGAAAAGGACGUCAUAGAGGGUGAGAACCCCGUAUGUGACCGGCGCGCACCCUCCGCGUAGCUCCUUCGACGAGUCGAGUUGUUUGGGAAUGCAGCUCUAAAUGGGAGGUAAAUUUCUUCUAAAGCUAAAUAUUGGCCCGAGACCGAUAGCGCACAAGUAGAGUGAUCGAAAGAUGAAAAGCACUUUGGAAAGAGAGUUAAAAAGCACGUGAAAUUGUUGAAAGGGAAGCGCUUCCCACCAGACUCCGCGGCGGUGUUCCGCCGGUCUUCUGACCGGUCUACUCGCCGCCGUGGGGCCAGCAUCGUCUGGGGCCGCCGGAUAAGACCGUAGGAAUGUAGCUCAUUGAGUGUUAUAGCCUGCGGGGAUGCGGCGCGCCCCGGGCGAGGUCCGCGCUUCGGCAAGGAUGCUGGCGUAAUGGUGGGCAGCGGCCCGUCUUGAAACACGGACCAAGGAGUCUAACAUCUAUGCGAGUGUUCGGGUGUCAAACCCCUACGCGUAAUGAAAGUGAACGGAGGUGGGAGCUUCGGCGCACCAUCGACCGAUCCUGAUGUCCUCGGAUGGAUUUGAGUAAGAGCAUAGCUGUUGGGACCCGAAAGAUGGUGAACUAUGCCUGAAUAGGGUGAAGCCAGAGGAAACUCUGGUGGAGGCUCGCAGCGGUUCUGACGUGCAAAUCGAUCGUCAAAUUUGGGCAUAGGGGCGAAAGACUAAUCGAACCAUCUAGUAGCUGGUUC